GGAAACGUGGCCGAGCGGUUUAAGGCACCGGUCUGGAAAACCGACGACAGGAAGCCGUCCGUGAGUUCGCAUCUCACCGUUUCUG
rnacentral:tRNA from 1 species